rnacentral:rRNA from 1 species
AGAGUUUGAUCCUGGCUCAGAACGAACGCUGGCGGCGUGCUUAAUACAUGCAAGUCGUGCGAGAAAGUGGGGGCAACCCCGCGAGUAAAGCGGCGAACGGGUGAGUAACACGUAAGUAACCUGCCUCUAAAUUCGGGAUAACCUUGCCAACGCGGGGCUAAUACCGGAUGUGGUCAUAUAACUGCAUGGUUGUGUGAUUAAAGGUAACCUCUACUUGUAAGUUAUCGUUUAGAGAUGGACUUGCGGACCAUUAGCUAGUUGGCAGGGUAAUGGCCUACCAAGGCAGUGAUGGUUAGCCGGCCUUAGAGGGUGAUCGGCCACAUUGGGACUGAGAUACGGCCCAGACUCCUACGGGAGGCAGCAGUAGGGAAUUUUGCGCAAUGGGCGAAAGCCUGACGCAGCAACGCCGCGUGAGCGAUGAAGUCCUUCGGGAUGUAAAGCUCUGUUGAGUGGGAAGAAAAGUUUCAGGUUUAAUAAACUUGGAAUGUGACGGUACCAUUCGAGGAAGCCCCGGCCAACUACGUGCCAGCAGCCGCGGUAAUACGUAGGGGGCAAGCGUUGUUCGGAAUUACUGGGCGUAAAGGGAGCGUAGGCGGAGGGAUAAGUUAGAAGUCUAAUGUACGGGCUUAACCCGUAAUCUGCUUCUAAGACUGUUCCCCUUGAGUAUGGGAGAGGAUGAUGGAAUUCCAGGUGUAGCGGUGGAAUGCGUAGAUAUCUGGAAGAACACCAGUAGCGAAGGCGGUCAUCUGGCCCAAUACUGACGCUGAGGCUCGAAAGCUAGGGGAGCAAACAGGAUUAGAUACCCUGGUAGUCCUAGCCGUAAACGAUGGACACUAGAUGCUGGGGAAUUCAAUUUUCUCAGCGUCGUAGCCAACGCGUUAAGUGUCCCGCCUGGGGAGUACAUCGCAAGGUUGAAACUCAAAGGAAUUGACGGGGGCCCGCACAAGCGGUGGAGCAUGUGCUUUAAUUCGAUGCAACGCGAAGAACCUUACCUGGGUUUGACAUGGGAGUGAAAGUUUCCAGAGAUGGAAGCCUUUCCGCAAGGAACACUCUACACAGGUGCUGCAUGGUUGUCGUCAGCUCGUGUCGUGAGAUGUUGGGUUAAGUCCCGCAACGAGCGCAACCCUCGCCCUUAGUUGCCAUCAGGUAAUGCUGGGAACUCUAAGGGGACUGCCUGGUAUAACCAGGGGGAAGGUGGGGAUGACGUCAAAUCAUCAUGGCCCUUACGUCCAGGGCUAGACACGUGCUACAAUGGCCGGUACAGAGGGCUGCGAGGCUGUAAAGCUGAGCUAAUCCCACAAAACCGGUCUCAGUUCGGAUUGGAGUCUGCAAUUCGACUUCAUGAAGCUGGAAUCGCUAGUAAUCGCGGAUCAGCAUGCCGCGGUGAAUACGUUCCCGGGCCUUGUACACACCGCCCGUCACGCCAUGGAAGCCUGCUGUACCGGAAGUCGGUGCGCUAACCCGCAAGGGAAGCAGCCGCCCAUGGUAU